GACGGAGGGCGCUAGCGUUGUUCGGAAUCACUGGGCGUAAAGGGCGCGUAGGCGGCCAUGUAAGUCGGGGGUGAAAGCCCGGGGCUCAACCCCGGAACGGCCUUCGAGACUGCGUGGCUGGAGACCGGAAGAGGAGGGUGGAAUACCCAGUGUAGAGGUGAAAUUCGUAGAUAUUGGGUGGAACACCAGUGGCGAGAGCGGCUCUCUGGUCUGGUUCUGACGCUGGGGCGGGAAAGCGUGGGGAGGAAACAGG
rnacentral:rRNA from 1 species